GGCCAGACUCCUACGGGAGGCAGCAGUGGGGAAUAUUGCACAAUGGGGGAAACCCUGAUGCAGCGACGCCGCGUGAGCGAUGAAGUAUUUCGGUAUGUAAAGCUCUAUCAGCAGGGAAGAAGAUGACGGUACCUGACUAAGAAGCCCCGGCUAACUACGUGCCAGCAGCCGCGGUAAUACGUAGGGGGCAAGCGUUAUCCGGAUUUACUGGGUGUAAAGGGAGCGUAGACGGCGGCGCAAGCCAGAUGUGAAAGGCCGGGGGUCAACUCCGGGACGGCAUUUGGAACUGUGUGGCUGGAGUGUCGGAGAGGCAGGCGGAAUUCCUAGUGUAGCGGUGAAAUGCGUAGAUAUUAGGAGGAACACCAGUGGCGAAGGCGGCCGGCUGGACGAUGACUGACGUUGAGGCUCGAAAGCGUGGGGAGCAAACAGGAUUAGAUACCCCUGUAUUU
rnacentral:rRNA from 1 species